AGAACGAACGCUGGCGGCAUGCCUAAUACAUGCAAGUCGAACGAACUCUUCGGAGUUAGUGGCGCACGGGUGCGUAACGCGUGGGAAUCUGCCCCUUGGUUCGGAAUAACAGUUGGAAACGACUGCUAAUACCGGAUGAUGACGAAAGUCCAAAGACUUAUCGCCAAGGGAUGAGCCCGCGUAGGAUUAGCUAGUUGGUGAGGUAAAGGCUCACCAAGGCAACGAUCCUUAGCUGGUCUGAGAGGAUGAUCAGCCACACUGGGACUGAGACACGGCCCAGACUCCUACGGGAGCAGCAGUAGGGAAUAUUGGACAAGUGGGACGAAAGGCCUAGAUCCAGCAAUGCCGCGUGAGUGAUGAAGGCCUUAGGUUGUAAAGCUCUUUACCGAGAUGAUAAUGAACAGUAGUCGGAAGAACGUAACGCCCCGGACUAACCGUCCGUGCCAGCCGAAGCCGAC
rnacentral:rRNA from 1 species